rnacentral:rRNA from 1 species
AUUCCAGCUCCAGAAGCGUAUGCUAAAGUUGUUGCAGUUAAAAAGCUCGUAGUUGAAUUUCUGGUAGGGCUGACCUCGCCUUUGGAUGAAUGUCCACUGUCUGCGUUGUGUCGGUUUGGCCAUCUUCGCGCUGUUCUUUGGAUGGCGCGUGUUUCACUGUAAUCAAAUCAGAGUGUUCAAAGCAGGUCGUAGACCGGAAUGUUUAUUAUGGGAUGAUAAGAUAGGACUUUUGUGCUAUUUUGUUGGUUUGCACACGAGAGUAAUGAUUAAAAGGAACAGGUGGAGGUAUUCGUAUUUAGGAGCUAGAGGUGAAAUUCUUGGAUUUCCGAAAGACGAACUACUGCGAAGGCAUUUACCAAGUAUGUUUUCAUCA